rnacentral:rRNA from 1 species
GGAAUGCCUAAUGUAAAACCCUUCCAGAGUAACAAUUGGAGGGCAAGUCUGGUGCCAGCAGCCGCGGUAAUUCCAGCUCCAAUAGUGUAUAUUAGAGUUGUUGCAGUUAAAAAGCUCGUAGUUGGAUUUCUGUCGUGGUCAUCCGGUUCCGCCCGUAUGGGUGUGCACCUGGUUUGCCCUCGGCUUUCUUCCGUUUGCCUCUUGGCGCUUCAUUGCGUCUUUUGGUUUUUCGGAACUUUUACUUUGAGAAAAAUAGAGUGUUUCAAGCAGGCUUGUCGCCCUGAAUACUUCAGCAUGGAAUAAUAAGAUAGGACCUUGGUUCUAUUUUGUUGGUUUCUAGGACUAAGGUAAUGAUUAAUAGGGACAGUUGGGGGCAUUCGUAUUUAACUGUCAGAGGUGAAAUUCUUAGAUUUGUUAAAGACGAACUACUGCGAAAGCAUUUGCCAAGGAUGUUUUCAUUAAUCAAGAACGACAGUAGGGGGUUUGAAGACGAUUAGAUACCGUCGUAAUCUCUACCAUAAACUAUGCCGACUAGAGAUAGGGAAAUGCCUACCUUGGCUUCUCCUGA